rnacentral:lncRNA from 1 species
CUUGAUUUCAGCUUUCCAAACUCUUUUCAUUGAUCUCUAUUUUUGCUUUCCUUCUCUUCUUUCACUGUUUAUCUUAGAAUGAAUGUUAUAGAAUUUUAGAGCUGAAAGGACCUCAGGGAUGGGAAGAGUGGAGGUGGUGGGACUGUGGGACCCCAGAGAAGGGGCCAGCACCCAGCAGUUCUGCCACGGGCGCAGUUUCUGCACCACCUUCCUUUCUGGGUGUCCCUGUCACUCGAUGUGGCAGAGCUUAGCAGGUUUACUUUCCUCCAGCAUGUGUCUAAGAGAAAAAAGGAGAAGAAUUUCCAUACGCCAGAAAUCUACAAAGGCAUCCUUUUACGAUGAAAUAACCUCCAUUUAUUGUUUUGCUUCUAACUUUUCAAUGACCUCCAAAUAUAAUAAGAAUGAUGGUGUCUUCAAAAUGGGUGAAGUUUGUAAAACUUGCUGGGUCAGUGCAGGAAUACUCCUAAUCUUCUGAACUGUAACAUUUCAAAUUGAUAACAAAAGAAAACCAGCUCGUCCACGUGUGAGUUCGGUUGGGAAAUUCACAUGCUUUUAAAAUGCUGUCCAUCAGUGGCUUAUAAAAGUAUUUGAUGGAUGUUUGAUGGAAUUUGAAUUAUUAAGCAAUGUCAAAUAGAAUUUUGGCUUCACUGUUAAUGAGGUGUCAUUGAAAAGAGUUGUAAAAAUAGCAAGAGAUUUGUUUUAAUAAAAGAGGAAGAAGGGAAAGGCAAAUUAAAUCCAAUAAAUGCAUGAAGCUGAACAGCUGGAGGCACCCACUCCCUUUCCUCACCUCUCUUUUCUCUCUGUGCUGGGUGCUUCUCACCACCUCUAUGGAGGUAUUUGACGCAGACAGCCAAUUAGUACUGGGUGACCCUGCUCCAUAUCUGAGAGAUGUACCACUUUGCCAAACCAGUGUGAUCAAAAGUUGAUCUUUGACAAGCUGUUAGGCAAAACAUGUAUCUCUCUGCGUGAGUCGGCGCAUUGGCAUUUCCUUUUCUGUAAACUGUUUCUUCGUGUUAAGGGUAGUUUUGAUAAAUCCAUUUGGAAGAGAGUCGGGUUCACAGAGGUCACCAACUGGGAAACAUUUUAAGAAGGAGAGGAAAAGAGCCAAGUGAGCUUUAUGAAAGAAAAAUAAACUCAAGAACGAUUUCUUUUUCUAAAGAAACCACUGUAUCUGGAUUAUGCCCUGUCAAUAUGCCAGGUAUGCACAGAUGGUUCUUCAGUCUGAUGGAUUGACAUUUCUUCCCCUGGAUUGUGAUAGAAAAACCUUUCCCUCGCAGACCUGGAACUCACAAUGACAUUCUAGCAUUACUAGAGUAUGUUUUCAUUGCAAAUUGCAUGUAAAACCCAUUGUUUCAUUGCAAAUAAAAGUUUAGAUUUACUGUGAUGUGACCACAAUGUGAUAUUUUCAUCCAUAAAGCCCUCGGUUACUUCCUUGCUUUAGUGCACCAGGCUGAAGGGAG